rnacentral:rRNA from 1 species
GACGAACGCUGGCGGCGUGCUUAACACAUGCAAGUCGAACGGAAAGGCCCUGCUUUUGUGGGGUGCUCGAGUGGCGAACGGGUGAGUAACACGUGAGUAACCUGCCCUUGACUUUGGGAUAACUUCAGGAAACUGGGGCUAAUACCGGAUAGGAGCUCCUGCUGCAUGGUGGGGGUUGGAAAGUUUCGGCGGUUGGGGAUGGACUCGCGGCUUAUCAGCUUGUUGGUGGGGUAGUGGCUUACCAAGGCUUUGACGGGUAGCCGGCCUGAGAGGGUGACCGGCCACAGUGGGACUGAGAUACGGCCCGGACUCCUACGGGAGGCAGCAGUGGGGAAUAUUGCAUAAUGGGCGGAAGCCUGAUGCAGCAACGCCGCGUGCGGGAUGACGGCCUUCGGGUUGUAAACCGCUUUCGCCUGUGACGAAGCGUGAGUGACGGUAAUGUGUAAAGAAGCACCGGCUAACUACGUG